UUUUAAGUACAUGCCUACAACAUAGAGUUAAUGAAUUGGAUCCCAUUAGAACUCCAUAGUUAAUCCCACUCGGUCUAGAGUAGUACUGGGAUGGGUGACCGCUUGGGAAGUACUAGUACUACUCUAGAC
rnacentral:rRNA from 1 species